UUCUCUUUUUUUAUAAAAAUUUUGUUACUUUUACAUUUAUUUUUAAAUUAGCAUUAUGAAAAAGCCCAACUAUCCAAAUAGUUUCCGGUCUUACCUUUCAUAUUUCCAAUGGCUAAUUAUCACCCAACGUAAAAGAUGAUUUUUUAUGACUACUUAUAAGGGGUAACGAUUUCCUGCCGGCAUGAACUCCUGAUCAAAGCAACAGCAGAAAGAAAAAGGCGGCACUGAAUUUUCAUAUUUUGCGCCAUACCGUUACAAACAAAUACGAUAUUUUUGAUUGCGCCAUCAACUUUUCGGGUUAAUCCUGUAAAAG
rnacentral:sRNA from 1 species